rnacentral:rRNA from 1 species
UACGAAGGGGGCGAGCGUUGUUCGGAAUUACUGGGCGUAAAGCGCGCGUAGGCGGCUUUGUAAGUCAGAGGUGAAAGCCCUGGGCUCAACCUGGGAAUGGCAUUGGAAACUGGCGAUCUAGAGUGCGGUAGAGGGUAGUGGAAUUCCCGGUGUAGCAGUGAAAUGCGUAGAGAUCGGGAGGAACAUCUGUGGCGAAGGCGACUGCCUGGACCAGCACUGACACUGAGGCACGAAAGCGUGGGGAGCAAACAGG